UGACCAAACCUCAGCACCUGCUGACCAACUGCAUUAAACAGCCUCCAGCCUACAAUCACCAUCGUCACCUGGCGCCGAGCGAACGUUCAGGCACGCUGCCAUUAGGGAUUCCCCCAGUCCGAAUGGCCACUACGGUGUAACACUCCCUUCACCCUUCGACUCGACUGUUCCAAAUUUUUCAGCAAGCUGAACAUUAACACAAAACAAUGAACAGCCCUUGUUCUUUACUCAGCUCUGCAACUUCCUCCAGCCCCAGAGAGUGAACAACUCAACAAACACUACAGAAAAUUCUCCUUAUACAUAUAUUUUUGUGAAGUAUUAUUGGUAUUGGUAUUUUUAUCAGGUUUAUUUUUAUUUGUAUAUAUUCUAAAUAAAAUGUCUAUAUAUAUAAAUUA